GACGAACGCUGGCGGCAUGCCUAACACAUGCAAGUCGAGCGAGCAGAUCCCUUCGGGGUGAAGCUAGCGGCGGACGGGUGAGUAACACGUGGGCAACCUGCCUCAUAGAGGGGAAUAGCCUUCCGAAAGGAAGAUUAAUACCGCAUAAGAUUGUAGCUUCGCAUGAAGCAGCAAUUAAAGGAGCAAUCCGCUAUGAGAUGGGCCCGCGUCGCAUUAGCUAGUUGGUGAGGUAACGGCUCACCAAGGCGACGAUGCGUAGCCGACCUGAGAGGGUGAUCGGCCACAUUGGGACUGAGACACGGCCCAGACUCCUACGGGAGGCAGCAGUGGGGAAUAUUGCACAAUGGGGGAAACCCUGAUGCAGCAAUGCCGCGUGAGUGAUGACGGCCUUCGGGAUGUAAAGCUCUGUCUUCGGGGACGAUAAUGACGGUACCCGAGGAGGAAGCCACGGCUAACUACGUGCCAGCCGCCGCCGUAA
rnacentral:rRNA from 1 species